GGUUAAGCGACUAAGCGUACACGGUGGAUGCCCUGGCAGUCAGAGGCGAUGAAGGACGUGCUAAUCUGCGAAAAGCGUCGGUAAGGUGAUAUGAACCGUUAUAACCGGCGAUGUCCGAAUGGGGAAACCCAGUGUGAUUCGUCACACUAUCGUUAACUGAAUACAUAGGUUAACGAGGCGAACCGGGGGAACUGAAACAUCUAA
rnacentral:rRNA from 1 species